rnacentral:rRNA from 1 species
CGUGUAGGCGGCCUUGCAAGUCAGGCGUGAAAGCCCUCGGCUUAACCGGGGAAGUGCGUUUGAUACUGCAAGGCUUGAGUACGGGAGAGGGAGGCGGAAUUCCCAGUGUAGAGGUGAAAUUCGUAGAUAUUGGGAGGAACACCGGUGGCGAAAGCGGCCUCCUGGACCGAUACUGACGCUGAGACGCGAGAGCGUGGGUAGCAAACAG